rnacentral:sRNA from 1 species
AAGAAGCAUGGCAGGAGUGUCUGCAUGGGUCCUGAGAGUCGCGUGAGCAGCGAAGCAGUUCACGGAUGGUUGGAUGGAGGGCAAUGACCAGCUGCUGAGCUGCUGCUGCUCCUCCUGGUCGACCAUCAGUUUGUAUUUGUCCAUGCCUCGUGUAGCCGGCCGUCUUCUUGCCCUGGCUUGUCCAGUUCCGGAAGGCGGGCAGGCCCGGUGAGGCGUGGACAGAGACCGGCAAGUCAGAGAUCGGCAAUAGUGAGCUCCAGCAGGAGCCUA